GUUGAUGUAGCUUAUAAAAAGCAAAGCACUGAAAAUGCUUAGAUGGAUGCAAGCAUCCCAUAAACA
rnacentral:tRNA from 1 species